rnacentral:lncRNA from 1 species
AAUGUAGAAAUGAACUCUUGUCAGAAUUUCAAAGGAAUUAUAUUUUGGUAAAAUGUGCUAAUGUAAAGAGUGAGAAGAUUAGUGAUGCAUAAUGAAUGAAAUGCAUUCUUUUACAUGGAAAUAGGAAAAGAAUAAAUGUCCUGCAGGUGACUGGGGCUGUAACAAUUUUAUUUAAGAUUAAAGUCUGAUUGACCCUUGUUAGAAUGAUUAACCUUUCUGAAAUUAGAGGCUAUAUCUGAAUUAGUGAGUCCAAUUUAAAUGCAAA